AAAUAUACUCCUUUUUGAUAAAUUUCUCAAGAACAACAUGUCUCAAUCCCAAAACAAAAAUUAAGAUCCCUCAAAAUUCAACCAUAGGAAUUCGAAAAUGAUUUAAGAUUCUGAAUCUCCAUUGUGAGAGCUACAAGGAGCACCCAUUAAUCAUACGUAUAGAGUUUUGGAAUCAAGAGUCAUCCAAAUUCAUAAACUUGAGGUAUGUAAGUGUUGAUUCUUGGGUUUCUUCCACUCAAGAAGCUCAAGAACAACAUGUCUCAAUCCCAACACAAAAAUUAAGAUCCAUCAAAAUUCAACCGUAGGAAUUUGAAAAUGAUUUAAGAUUCGAAAUCCCCAUUGCGAGAGCUACAAGGAGCACCCAUUAAUCUUACGUAUAGAGUUUCAGAAUCAAGAGUCAUCCAAAUUCAUAAACUUGAGGUAUGCAAGUGUUGAUUCUUGGGUUCCUUCCACUCAAGAAGCUCAAGAACCUUUUUUCCUAAAUUCAAAGAUUGUGUUUUUAUUAGUUUUUAUGAUUCAUAUGGUUUGAAAUUGAAGCUCUUGAUGUUGCUGAAAUUAAAUUCAUAUGUUGAUGACAAAGACUCAAGUUUAGACCCUAGUAUGUGUUGAUCUUGUUGUGUUCAUGAUAAAGCCUUUUCAAGAAGCAUGUUGAAUUAUGUAAUUAUGUUAAUUAGUGUGAUGUUGUUAUAUACUAAUUGAUGGGAGAAAUAAUCAUAUUUACCAUUUUUGUUGAAUCAUGAUCAUAUCAUGUUGAAAUCUUUGUGUGAUGAAUUGGUUGAUGGAGUUAUGACAUUUAGAAGUAGUAAUUAUUGAAUAACUAAAGCAUGCUCCCUACAUGUUUGAUAAAAUGCUUAUAUUAUGAAAAUAUUACCAUUGUAGCAUGUUAAGUAUGAAUGUCAUGUUGAGUUCUUGAACUACAAGAUUGAGGUAGAAUUCAUGAUUAGGUUUAACUGUAAUUAUGAUUAAAGGUUGAUGGAAUAUCUAAUCCAUGAUAAAGUGUAAGAUUUAUAUGAAAUUAUUGAGUAUAUGUAUAGUAAUAUAUUAAUUCAUAUUAGAGCCUUGACAUCAUAAAUUUGAUGUUGGAGUAUUUGAAGGGAAAAUUAAUUAGUUGUGGUAUGAUUUAUGUAACUACAAGUUGGAUGAAGAAUCCAUGAGUGGAUUUAAGUAUAUUCAUGAUUAUAUUGUUGAUUGGGUUUAUAACCCAUGACUAAGUGCAUGAUUUAUGUGAAAUUCAUAAGUAUUAUGUAUGUAGUAUUAUGUGAAUUCAUAUUAGAGCCUUGAGAUGGUGAACUUGGUAUUGGAAUUGUGCUACUCAAGUAUUGAUUUGCAUUAUGAUUAAAUAUUAUGUCUUCCAAGUAUUUGAUGAAUGGUUUGUGUGAAUAAAAUAAGAAAAAUUAUAUCAUAUAAGUAUGUAUAUUAAAUUCAUGCCAUCCAAUAUGUAUUAAUUCAUGUCAUCCAAGUGUUUGAUAAAAUGCUUAAGUGAACAAAAUAGAGUCAUUAUAAUAUGUUGACAAGAAAUUUCCAAGUUAUGUAUAAGUUCAUUCCAAGUGUGGUUGAAAAUCUUUAGUAAAUGAGCUAUGGUAUGUUGUGUGAAAAUUCUAUCCAUGUGCAUUCCUUGUUGAAUGAAUUAUGAGGCAUUAGUAUGAAUCCUUACAUACCUUUAUGAUUAAGAUUUCCAAGUGUUUGAAGAAUAUUAUCCAUUCUUGAUCAUGAUUUGGGUUUAGUUUAUGACUUCCAAGUACUUGACAGAGUAUCUUAUUGAUUUUGUUGCGAGAAAUGGACUGUUGUUAUGUUAUGCAAGUAUUGAUGUACUGUAUUUAAUUAUGCUAUCGAGUCCUGGGGGUAUUUAUGAUCGAAAUUAGCCUACUUGUCUAGAGCCGAGUCAAUUUCAAGAUAAUCUCAAUCAAGCCACGAUCAGUAAGUUUCAGUUAGUUACAGAACUCAGGAAAACUCAGUAGAUUUAGAAAAGCAGUCUCAGAUAGUAUUCAGAUUAAGAAACUCAAAAUCUUAAGUAUCAAUCUAGUCCAUUUUAGAUCUCUAUAGUAUUUCAGUAUUCAGUUAUAGAAUUUAAUAAACUAAGUGAGAUAACAGAACCCAGUAGUAUUCAGCCAGUUAUCAGAUAUUCUGUAGUAUUUUGUCAGAUAACAAAAACAAGUGAACUCAGUCAAAUCAGCUCAAUAAUAUACUCAGUAACAAGAUUCAGCUCAGUGUAAUUUCAGUUAAGAAUCAGUUCAGAGUCUUUUAGCUGGGAGUAGGAUUCAGCACCGAGUGAGCUCGAGGAUGGGAGCUCACCUACUAGUAGAAGGUAUGAUUCUUAGAAGCAAUCUUUGCUCUCUAGAACUACGUAGCCAGCGCAGGUUGAGAUAUCAUACCUGAUAGUUGAGGGUAGAUGAGAUGGCUUGACCUGUUAGAUGAGAGCUCCACCAUUCUCGCUUGAGUACCUGAUAGAAGAGGGUAAUGCAAAGUUGUCUUUACCAGUGGCACGGUAUUGACACCCUUUCAACUGGGGCACAGGUUAGACCCCGACUUAGCUAAGUGGGGCAUAUCGAUUAGAUGAUAAAGACUCAAGUUUAGACCCUAGUAUAUGUUGAUCUUAUUGUGUUCAUGAUAAAGCCUUUUCAAGAAGCAUGUUGAAUUAUGUAAUUAUGUUAAUUAGUGUGAUGUUGUUAUAUACUAAUUGACGUGGGAAAUAAUCAUAGUUUCUUUUUUUUUUAAUCAUGAUCAUAUCAUGUUGAAAUCUUUGUGUGAUGAAUUGGUUGAUGGAGUUAUGACAUUUAGAAGUAGUAAUUAUUGAAUAACUAAAGCAUGCUCCCUACAUGUUUGAUAAAAUACUUAUAUUAAGAAAAUAUUACCAUUGUAGCAUGUUAAGUAUGAAUGUCAUGUUGAGUUCUUGAACUACAAGAUUGAGGUAGAAUUCAUGAUUAGGUUUAACUGUAAUUAUGAUUAAAGGUUGAUGGAAUAUCUAAUCCAUGAUAAAGUGUAAGAUUUAUAUGAAAUUAUUGAGUAUAUGUAUAGUAAUAUAUUAAUUCAUAUUAGAGCCUUGACAUCAUAAAUUUGAUGUUGGAGUAUUUGAAGGGAAAAUUAAUUAGUUGUGGUAUGAUUUAUGUAACUACAAGUUGGAUGAAGAAUCCAUGAGUGGAUUUAAGUAUAUUCAUGAUUAUAUUGUUGAUUGGGUUUAUAACCCAUGACUAAGUGCAUGAUUUAUGUAAAAUUCAUAAGUAUUAUGUAUGUAGUACUAUGUGAAUUCAUAUUAGAGCCUUGAGAUGGUGAACUUGGUGUUGGAAUUGUGUUACUCAAGUAUUAAUUUGCAUUAUGAUUAAAUAUUAUGUCUUCCAAGUAUUUGAUGAAUGGUUUGUGUGAAUAAAAUAAGAAAAAUUAUAUCAUAUAAGUAUGUAUAUUAAAUUCAUGCCAUCCAAUAUGUAUUAAUUCAUGUCAUCCAAGUGUUUGAUAAAAUGCUUAAGUGAAGAAAAUAGAGUCAUUAUAAUAUGUGACAAGAAAUUCCCCAGCUAUGUAUAAGUUCAUGCCAAGUGUGGUUGAAAAUCUCUAGUAAAUGAGUUAUGGUAAGUUGUGUGAAAAUCCUAUCCAUGUGCAUUCCUUGUUGAAUGAAUUAUGAGGCAUUAGUAUGAAUCCUUACAAACCUUUAUGAUUAAUAUUUCCAAGUGUUUGAAGAAUAUUAUGCAUUCUUGAUCAUGAUUUGGAUUUAUGACUUCCAAGUACUUGAAAGAGUAUCUUAUUGAUUUUGUUGUGAGAAAUGGACUAUUGUUAUGUUAUGCAAGUAUUGAUGUACGGUAUUUAAUUAGGCUAUCGAGUUCUGGGGGUAUUUAUACUCAAAAUUAGCCUGCUUGUCUAGAGCCGAGUUAAUUUUAAGAUAAUCUUAGUCAAGCCACGAUCAGUAAGUUUCAGUUAGUUACAGAACUUAAAAAAACUCAGUAUAUUGAGAAAAUCAGUCUCAGUAUAGUAUUCAGAUUAGGAAACUCAGAAUCUCAAGUAUCAAUCUAGUCCACUUUAGAUUUCUAUAGUAUUUUAGUAUUCAGUUAAAGAAUUCAGUAAACUCAAUGAGAUAACAGAACUCAGUUUUAUUCAAUCAGUUAUCAGAUAUUCUGUAGUAUUCAGUCAGAUAAUAGAACCAAGUGAACUCAGUCAAAUCAGCUCAGUAAUAUACCUAGUAACAAGAUUCAGCUCACUGUAAGUUCAGUUAAUAAUCAGUUUAGAGUCUUUCAGUUGGUAGUAGGAUUCAGCACUGACUGCGCUCGAGGAUGGGAACUCACCUACUAGUAGAAGGUGUGAUUCUUAGAAGCAAUUAUUGUGCUCCAGAACUAUGUAUCCAGCGUAGGUUGAGACAUCAUACCUGAUAGUUGAGGGUAGAUGAGGUAGCUUGACCUAUUACAUGAGGGCUUCACCAUUCUCGCUUAAGUACCUAAUAGAAGAGGGUAAUGCAAAGUUGUCUUUACCAGUGGCGCGAUACUGCAAAGUAUCUAGGCGGGGUAUGUCGGUUAGAUGACUAUUCACGCAGUCUCAGCUUCAGAAUCAGUCUCAGACUUCAAGAAGGAGCUCAGUUCAGUGUAUAGAAUUCAAGGAUGUUAGAAACAGUCCAUCAAGUAUGAUUAUUUGCAAAUUCAAAGAUCCGCUGAUAGAUAGGUCGAUCUCAAAAUUAGUUAUCAAGUAGUAUUAUUAUUCACAGAUUCAAAGAUAACCUGUUAGGAGGGUUUAUCUCAAAUUCAGUCAAUUAUUCUUAUUAUUAGUAGAUUCGGAGACAACCUGUUAGAUAGGGUUGCUACAAGUUUUAAAAGCUUUAGAUACUGGUAAUCUAAGUAUGUUUAGAAAUUUUAGUAUAUUCAAUAUCAGUUACCAGAGUUAGUCUGAAUAUACUCAGUGACAGUAUGCGCAGUAUGUCCCGUAAUUAUAGAUUCUUUAUGUAUGCUAAUCCAUCUCUUGCAUAUUAUUUAGUUAAGUUAUGUUCAUGCAUAAGUCCUUGUAUUUUGCCUUACCUCAUUUGCAUACUCGGUACAUUCCAACAUACUGACGCAUUUGUGUUAUGGUUCUGUAAUUUUAUUUGACACUAUAGAUUUAGAGACAUGAGUUCUAGAUCAGCAGUGGCAGUUCAGUACCCAGCAGGGAGUCCUCAUAUUCCGAGGAUGGAUUAUUAUUUCAGCACAUUAUUAUAUUUAGUUUAUCUUAUUAGACAGAGUUAGUUAGGGACAUGCCCAUCAACUCCACAGUUUAGACAGUUAGAGACUUUUUGGAUAGUUGUAUAAGUAUUCAGUUUGCAGAAUUAUGUAUUUUAGAUAUUUUGAACCUUAUGGCAAGUUUCCACCAUUUUUCUGUAUGUAUUCUAUUAUAUUAUGUAGUGAAUAGGUACAGAUAUCAGAAGAGGGUUAGCUUAAGGUCCUUUGGGAUCAUAAGCACCGUGUGACGUUCUGAUUAUAGAAAAUUAGGGCAUUACAAGAAGCUACAAGACAUUUUAAGAAUAAAUUUCCCUU
rnacentral:lncRNA from 1 species